UACGGAGGGGGCUAGCGUUGUUCGGAAUUACUGGGCGUAAAGGGCGCGUAGGUGGCGGGACAAGCGUGCGGUGAAAGCCUGGGGCUCAACCCCGGGUCGGCCGUGCGAACUGUUUUGCUUGAGCACUGUAGAGGCAGGCGGAAUUCCGGGUGUAGCGGUGGAAUGCGUAGAGAUCCGGAAGAACACCGGUGGCGAAGGCGGCCUGCUGGGCAGUAGCUGACACUGAGGCGCGACAGCGUGGGGAGCAAACAGG
rnacentral:rRNA from 1 species